GACGAACGCUGGCGGCGUGCUUAACACAUGCAAGUCGAACGGAAAGGCCCUGCUUUUGUGGGGUGCUCGAGUGGCGAACGGGUGAGUAACACGUGAGUAACCUGCCCUUGACUUUGGGAUAACUUCAGGAAACUGGGGCUAAUACCGGAUAGGAGCUCCUGCUGCAUGGUGGGGGUUGGAAAGUUUCGGCGGUUGGGGAUGGACUCGCGGCUUAUCAGCUUGUUGGUGGGGUAGUGGCUUACCAAGGCUUUGACGGGUAGCCGGCCUGAGAGGGUGACCGGCCAAAUUGGGACUGAGAUACGGCCCAGACUCCUACGGGGGGCAGCAGGGGGGAAUAUUGCACAAUGGGCGGAAGCCUGAUGCAGCAACGCCGCGUGCGGGAUGACGGCCUUCGGGUUGUAAACCGCUUUCGCCUGUGACGAAGCGUGAGUGACGGUAAUGGGUAAAGAAGCACCGGCUAACUACGUG
rnacentral:rRNA from 1 species